UACGGGGGGGGUAAGCGUUGUUCGGAAUUACUGGGCGUAAAGGGCUCGUAGGCGGCCAACUAAGUCAUACGUGAAAUCCCUCAGCUUAACUGGGGAACUGCGUGUGAUACUGGAUGGCUUGGAUUUGGGAGAGGGAUGCGGAAUUCCAGGUGUAGCGGUGAAAUGCGUAGAUAUCAGGAGGAACACCUAUUGCGAAGGCAGCUCGCUGGGACGUAACUGACGCUGAGACGCGAAAGCGUGGGGAGCAAACAGG
rnacentral:rRNA from 1 species